GAGGCACAAGGAGCGUUUUUAUUUGGUUUAAACAUGAUUACAAAGACAUCUCACCUACGGUGUAUCCUAACAAUAGUAACAUGUUUAACUGUGAAUUGGACAAAGAUAUAAUUUGGAUCAAAAAUAAGGUGGUUAGCUGUAUAGUAUAACUCGCUUUUAAUGCUACAAUAUUGUAUCUUGUUUGGUAACAAGUUAGCUAGAUUUGACACACAUUUAACACCACUGUCAGCACAAAGCUCGACAGCAGCGUACCCAAAAUAUACACAAAAACGGGCGAUAAAGGUUUCUUUAGCACUUACACUGGAGAGAGAAGACCCAAGGAAGAUCAUGUGUUUGAAGCAUUGGGAACAACAGAUGAGCUGUCGAUCAGCAAUGGGUGCUUACCUGCCGAACCCUACAGAUUCAGUGUGUCUUACAAGAUGUGGGAUCCAACAUUACCACACGUCUGUCAUCUGCAAGAGAAAGAUAAGUAAAUAUAUUUCUGCAAAUCCUUUUGUAGAAUCAUUACACACAGUUCACCCCAGCCAUUGUCCUUCUCAUUCUACUCAUACUCUUAUCUCACUCUAUCCAACAGAGAAAAGCAAGUUCAGUUCCCAGCCAUUGGCAGACCUGGAAAGCUGUCUCGACGCAUUCACAGAGGAGCUGCCACCACUGACAAACUUUAUAUUACCUGAAAGCACCCACUCUGGAUGAAACUUUUCAUUUCUUUAUUUCAAUUUUUUUAUUGAGAACAAGUUCUCAUUUACAACUGCGACCUGGCCAAGAUAAAGCAGUGCGACAAAAACAACAACACAGAGUUACACAUAAACAAACGUACAGUCAAUAACACAAAAGAAAAGAAAAAUAGAAAAAUCUAUGUACAGUGUGUGCAAAUGUAGACGAGUAGGGAGGUAGGCAAUAAAUAGGCCAUAGAGGUGAAAAUAAUUACAACUUAGCAUUAAUACUGGAGUGAUAGAUGUGCAGAUGAUGAUGUGCAAGUAGAGAUACUGGGGUGCAAGAGGGUAAGUAAUAAUAUGGGGAUGAGGUAGUUGGGUGUACUAUUUACAGAAUGUCUGUGUACAGAUACAGUGAUCGGUAAGCUGCUCUGACAGCUGAUGCUUAAAGUUAGAGAGGGAGAUAUAAGACUCCAGCUUCAGAGAUUUUUGCAAUUCGUUCCAGUUAUUGGCAGCAGAGAACUGGAAGGAAAGGCGGCCAAAGGAAGUGUUGGCUUUGGGGAUGACCAGUGCAAUAUACCUGCUGGAGCGCGUGCUACGGGUGGGUGUUGCAAUGGUGACCAGUGAGCUGAGAUAAGACGGGGAUUUACCUAGUGAAGACUUAUAGAUGACCUUGAACCAGUGGGUUUGGCGAUGGAUAUAUAGUGAGGGCCAGCCAACAAGAGCAUACAGGUCGCAGUGGUGGGUAAUAUAUGGGGCUUUGGUGAUAAAAUGGAUGGCACUGUGAUAGACUACAUCCAGUUUUCUGAGUAGUGUUGGCGAUAUUUAGUAAAUGACAUCGCCGAAGUCAAGGAUCGGUAGGAUAGUCAGUUUUACGAGGGUAUGUUUGGCAGCAUGAGUGAAGGAGGCUUUGUUGCAAAAUAGGAAGCAGAUUCUAGAUGUAGUUUUGGAUUGGAGAUGCUUAAUGUGAGUCUGGAAGGAGAGUUUACAGUCUAACCAGACACCUAGGUAUUUGUAGUUGUCCACAUAUUCUAGGUCAGAACCGUCCAGAGUAGUGAUGCUAGUCGGGCGGGAGGGUGCGGGCAGCAAUCGGUUGAAGAGCAUGCACUUAGUUUUACUAGCAUUUAAAAUCAGUUGGAGGCCACGAAGGAGUGUUGUAUGGCGUUGAAGCUCGUUUGAAGGUCUGUUAGCACAGUGUCCAAAGAUGGCCCAGAAGUAUACAGAAUGGUGUCGUCUGCGUAGAGGUGGAUCAGAGAAUUACCAGCAGCAAGAGCGACAUCAUUGAUAUAUACAGAGAAAAGAGUAGGCCCGAGAAUUGAACAUUUAUAAGGUGAUGUGGAAGUAUUGAUGAUCGGUUUAAAGGUUCAAAUUCCAAAUAGUCUUAGUGUACUUCCAGGUAACACAUCAGAUGAGGUUUUGCAUAUGUUAAUCCAUGUUUAAAGCACCUCAAUACAUGUAUAUUGACAUUUAAUAUCCAUUGAUGCAUUAGUUAUUAGAUCCCUUUGUGGGUGAAUACAUUUCUGCAUAUUGGUUUGAUGUGCUCUCUUUUUGUAACCUGUGUGUCCGGUUACAUAGUCUGUAGGAAAGAGCAGCGCAGCCCUCCACAUAGCACGGACAGUGUGUCGCCGAGCAGAAUGCAGGUCAAUUUGAGGUAAUCAUAUGGUUCAGACCAACCACUGUAAAACAGUCAUCCUGAACAUUGUCCCAGAAACAGCCAUAUUAACUAUAACUGUCUUUUUGUUCAGUGUUUCCCCUAUAGUGCCACAUAAUUAGUUAAAUAGUCCACCAGUGUGCAAUCUGUGUCAUAUGAUCUGUAUAUAUAUAUAUAUAUAUACACACACACACACACGUAUAGAGUUGAAGUCAGAAGUUUACAUACACCUUAGCCAAAUCAAUUUAAACUAAGUUUUUCACAAUUCCUGACAUUUAAUCCAAGUAAAUAUCCCCUGUUUUAGGUCAGUUAGGAUCACCACUUUAUUUUAAGAAUGUGAAAUGUCAGAAUAAUAGUAGAGAGAAUGAUUUAUUUAAGCUUUUUAUUUCUUUCAUCACAUUCCCAGUGGGUCAGAAGUUUACAUACACUCAAUUAGUAUUUGGUAGCAUUGCUUUUAAAUUGGUUAACUUGGGUCAAACGUUUCAGGCAUCCUUCCACAAGCUUCCCACAAUAAGUUGGGUGAAUUUUUGCCCAUUCCUCCUGACAGAGCUGGUGUAACUGAGUCAGGUUUGUAGGCCUCCUUUUUCGCACAUGCUUUUUCAGUUCUGCCCACACAUUUUCUGUAGGAUUGAGGUCAGGGCUUUGUGAUGGCCACUCUAAUACCUUGACUUUGUUGUCCUUAAGCCAUUUUGCCACAACUUUGGAAGUAUGCUUGGGGUCAUUGUCUGUUUGGAAGACCCAUUUGCGACCAAGCUUUAACUUCCUGACUGAUGUCAUGAGAUGUUGCUUCAAUAUAUUCAUAUAAUUUUCCUACCUCAUGAUGCCAUCCAUCUAUUUUGUGAAGUGCACCAGACCCUCCUGCAGCAAAGCACCCCCACGGGUACUGCCACCCUGUGCUUCACGGUUGGGAUGGUGUUCUUCAGCUUGCAAGCCUCCCCGCAUAUUCUUCAAACAUAAUGAUGGUCAUUAUGGCCAAACAAUUAUAUUUUUGUUUCAUCAGACCAGAGGACAUUUCUCCAAAAACUAUGAUCUUUGUCCCCAUGUGCAGUUGUAAACCAUAGUCUGGUUUUAUGGCGGUUUUGGAGCAGUGGCUUCUUCCUUGCUGAGCAGCCUUUCAGGUUCUCUCGAUAUAGGACUCGUUUUACUGUGGAUAUAGAAAUGUUUGUACCAGUUUCCUCCAGCAUCUUCACAUGGUCCUUUGCUGUCGUUCUGGGAUUGAUUUGCACUUUUUGCACCAAAGUACGUUCAAUUCUAGGAGACAGAACACCACUCCUUCCUGAGCGGUAUGACGGCUGCGUUGUCCCAUAGUGUUUAUACUUGCGUACUUUUGUUUGUACAGAUGAACGUGGUACCUUAAGGCAUUUGGAAAUUGCUCCCAAGGAUGAACCAGACUUGUGGACGUCUACCAUUGUUUUUCCUGAGGUCUUGGCUGAUUUCUUUUGAAUUUCCCAUGAUGUCAAGCAAAGAGGCACUGAGUUUGAAGGUAGGCCUUGAAAUACAUCCACAGGUACACCUCCAACUGACUCAAAUGAUGUCAAUUAACGUAUCAGAAGCUUCUAAAGCCAUGACAUUUUCUGGAAUUUUCCAAGCUAUUUAAAGCCACAGUCAACUUAGCGUAUGUAAACUUCUGACCCACUUGAAUUGGGAUACAGUGAAAUAAUCUGUCCGUAAACAAUUGUUGGAAAAAUUACUUGUGUCAUGCAAAGUAGAUGUCGUAACCGACUUGCCAAAACUAUAGUUUGUUAACAAGAUUUGUGGAGUGGUUGAAACACUUAGGUUGGAGUCAUUAAAACUAGUUUGUAGACUUCAACUUUACCUGUUCUGAAAGGCCCCAGAGUCUGCAACAACACUAAGCAAGGGGCACCAUGAAGACCAAGGAGCUCUCCAAACAGGUCAGGGACAAAGUUGUGGAGAUGUACAGAUCAAGAGGGCCACCCACCAAAACUCAUGGACCAGGCAAUAAGGACAUUAAUCAGAGGCAACAGAGAUCAAAGAUAACCCUGAAGAAGCUGCAAAUAUCUUGGAAUUUGAGUAUCUGUCCAUAGGGCCACUUUAAGCCAUACACUCCACAGAGCUGGGCUUCACGGAAGAGUGGCCAGAAAAAAAACCAUUGCUCAAUGAAAACAAAUAAGCAGACACGUUUGGUGUUUGCCAAAAGGCAUGUUGGAGACUCCCCAAACAUAUGGAAGAAGGCACUGGUCAGAUGAGACUAGAAUGUUGCUUUUUGGCCAUCAAGGAAAAUGCUAUGUGUGGCGCAAACCCAACACCUCUAGUCACCCCAAGAACACCAUCCCCGAAGCAUGGUGGUGGCAGUAUCAUGCUGUGGGGAUGUUUUUCCAUCAGCAGGGACUGGAAAACUGGUCAGAAUUGAAGGAAUGAUGGAUGGUGCUAAAUACAGGGAAAUUCUUGAGGGAAACCUGUUUGUCUUCUAGAGAUUUGAGACUGGGAUGGAGGUUCACCUUCCAGCAGGACAAUGACCCUAAGCAUACUGCUAAAGCAACACUCGAGUGGUUUAAGGGGAAACAUUUAAAUGUCUUGGAAUGGUGUAGUCAAAGCCAAGACCUCAAUCCCCAGUUGAGAAUCUGUGGUAUGACUUAAAGAUUGCUGUACACCAUCAGAACCCAUCCAACUUGAAGGAGCAGGAGCAGUUUUAACUUGAAUAGGCACAAAUCCAAGUGGUUAGAUGUGCCAAGCUUAUAGAGACCUACCAAGAGACUUGCAGCUGUAAUUGCUGCAAAAGGUGGCUCUACAAAGUAUUGACUUUGGGGGUGGUGAAUAGUUAUGCACGCUGAAGUAUUAUUUUGUAUAUUCAAAGUGGUAGGCAUGUUGUGUAAAUAAAAUGAUAUCCCCCCCCAAAAAAAGUCAUUUAAUUCCAGGUUGUAAGGCAACAAAAUAGAAAAAAUGCCAAGGGGGUGAAUACUUUCGCAAUCCACUAUGUUCCUGGUAUAAAUGUGCACAUUUUAGAUUGUGUUCUCUAGCUGAUGAACAGUCACCUCACGUCUUCCCACAGAUUGAGCAACUACCUGUUUCCAGUGGCCAGGUACACAGCCAUGAAAUAAGGGAAUGAGAAAAUCUACAAAAGACCUGAAUGACACAUCUACACAUGAAUGAACAGACUGGGGAACUUUGAAACAACAUUUAUUCUGUUUAAGGAUCAUCAUUGGCAUAUGUAAACGACAAAUUGAUGGUAUACGCUUCAAUAUCUCGUAAUGGAACUGCCCCUAAAUUUCAAAUAAAGACUUUAAUCAA